AUUGAACGCUGGCGGCAGGCCUAACACAUGCAAGUCGAACGGUAACAGGAAGAAGCUUGCUUCUUUGCUGACGAGUGGCGGACGGGUGAGUAAUGUCUGGGAAACUGCCUGAUGGAGGGGGAUAACUACUGGAAACGGUAGCUAAUACCGCAUAAUGUCGCAAGACCAAAGAGGGGGACCUUCGGGCCUCUUGCCAUCGGAUGUGCCCAGAUGGGAUUAGCUAGUAGGUGGGGUAACGGCUCACCUAGGCGACGAUCCCUAGCUGGUCUGAGAGGAUGACCAGCCACACUGGAACUGAGACACGGUCCAGACUCCUACGGGAGGCAGCAGUGGGGAAUAUUGCACAAUGGGCGCAAGCCUGAUGCAGCUAUGCCGCGUGUAUGAAGAAGGCCUUCGGGUUGUAAAGUACUUUCAGCGGAGAGGAAGGGAGUAAAGUUAAUACCUUGGCUCAUUGACGUUACCCGCAGAAGAAGCACCGGCUAACUCCGUG
rnacentral:rRNA from 1 species